CCUACGGGGUGCACCAGUGGGGAAUAUUGCACAAUGGGCGCAAGCCUGAUGCAGCCAUGCCGCGUGUGUGAAGAAGGCCUUCGGGUUGUAAAGCACUUUCAGCGGGGAGGAAGGCGGUGAGGUUAAUAACCUCAUCGAUUGACGUUACCCGCAGAAGAAGCACCGGCUAACUCCGUGCCAGCAGCCGCGGUAAUACGGAGGGUGCAAGCGUUAAUCGGAAUUACUGGGCGUAAAGCGCACGCAGGCGGUCUGUCAAGUCGGAUGUGAAAUCCCCGGGCUCAACCUGGGAACUGCAUUCGAAACUGGCAGGCUAGAGUCUUGUAGAGGGGGGUAGAAUUCCAGGUGUAGCGGUGAAAUGCGUAGAGAUCUGGAGGAAUACCGGUGGCGAAGGCGGCCCCCUGACAAAGACUGACGCUCAGGUGCGAAAGCGUGGGGAGCAAACAGGAUUAGAUACCCGUGUAGUC
rnacentral:rRNA from 1 species